rnacentral:lncRNA from 1 species
UCCCUGAGAGCUCUCACUUCCAUAAUGAUGCCAAUGUCCAACUCAUCCAUGUAUUGUGGCAUGUAUACAUAUGACAAUAUGCACAGUAGCAAUACAUCUACUCUUGCCAAAUGCCAAUGAUCCUCUGACAUGGUAAAAUCUCCAGAAUGCCGUGUAUAGCUAUCCUCUGAGCUAAAUCUGUCCAUCAAAAAACGUUGGGAUACAACGUGGCCGGAUGUGAUCUCAUCCUGCAUAACUCUACGCCUCAGCCCGGUGAGGGUCAUAAACUAUCGGCUCAUGUCACCGAUAGCCAUCUGCACGCAAGGUCUGUCUAAGGGCAGCGACGUCAACUGUGCAUACUCCUCUAAGGUAAGAGUCAACUCAUCGAUACCAAACUGGAAAACCUGCCUCUCCGGUAUCUAAUGCUCCAGCAUACCCUCUAUAAAGCCUGCGGGAACCUGAAACAUCAGGAGAGUCAUAGUAUGUUGCAAUAACUGAUCUACAGUCACCCUAUCUGAAGGUAACAUACUAUCAUAC